rnacentral:rRNA from 1 species
AGCAAGGUGGUCCCACUCCUUCCCAUCCCGAACAGGACAGUGAAACGCCUUUGCGCCGAUGAUAGUGCGGACUCCCGUGUGAAAGUAGGACAUCGUCAGGC